CAACAAUUAUUGGAAGAGAAAUCAUGACAAGCAUUGAAAUGAUCAUCAGUUUUGCCAUCAUUUUACCUCUCUGAGCAGUUAAGUUCCAGUUUAAGGGGCCAGCAUGUUGUGAAAACAACAGAUAUAAUCCAGAAAUAAUCUAACAAAGAUGACACCACCCACAAACAGCACUGCUGCUGUUCAGUAAGCAUUUAUUUUGUGUAAAAGAAGGAAAUUCAUAAUAAUAAACUUCACUUGCUAUUUAAACGGCAACUUACUAGUUCGUUAUGUUUUACUUCCCCCCACCGUCCUGUGACAGGUAUAUUGUAUUGUUCUUCAUUACAUGAUCAUUAGUACUUUUAAGAUGAAUAUGGUUGGAUAUUUUUUAUAUUGUUUGUUGAUUACUUAGAAAUAGUAAAACUAUGUAAAAGAAGUAAAAGAUAAGUGAAUAACGUUACGUUAAAUGUGAAAAGUCUGUUCUCAAAACUGAUAUUGUUUUUUAUUAUUAAAAUAAUAUAAUUCAAUGAAUUUAUUCAACUGCAAGAGAAUUAAUAAAAAAGUUAAUCGAAUGAACCCGAAUCUGGCAAGGUGUUGUUGUUCAAAAAAAAAACCAAAAGGAACAUUGGGACCAAUUUGCUACAAUCCUCAACUAACUUGGCCCACCUACUCGCGAUGGAAAAAAACAUUCCAAAUAAAACUUGAAUUCAUUCAACAUGUUGUGCUGGAUUAUAAGCUUAAAAUCAAAAGAAACCUUUGGUACAAGCUGUGGAUGAACUGCUUGGACUUGAGCAAGCUAUAAGCCAGAUGGUAUGUGCUUUGGUUCAUUUAACCAAAUUACAGAUAACUUAUCAAUCGGCUUACAAGACAUUGAAGUGCUGCCUGAAAAAGAAACUGGUGAAGCCGCUAAACAACAAUCACCAGCGUCCCCACCUAAAUUUAGUACAGCAGGGAUUAAGGAGGUGCUUGCAUUUUUAAAUUGGUUUUCUAAAUUGUUAAAUACGAAAACAAACGCUUCAUUAUUCAAUCGAAAAUACGAUCUGAAACUUAAGAAAUUAAUUAGAAUUAAAAGAACAUCCAGUACAAAAUAUUUUUUAUACUUACAGAUGAUUAAGGAGUUCCAAGAAAUUAGAGUUGUGUCGAAUAUUGUUGCGCAGUCGAAGCAUUCUGAAAUUUGUCUGUAUUUUUCGUUUUCUCAAAAAAAAAAUCUUUGUUGCUUAUUAAAAUAAAAACAAAUAUAAAUUGAACAUAACAGUUUGUUUUAAUUAUUUUUGUAUGGUAGAACUGAAUUUCGAAUUCUAAAGUUCGUCUACCGUGGUAUAUCGAAUGUGUUAGUAUGCCAAUGAAAACAUCUCACUUCGAAUGUUCGUUUCACCAACCAUAAUAAAGGUAAUAGACUACAGAAGACACAUUUCAUUUCAACAUACAUAUUAACACGUGUUGCCUGCAUCUAGACACCAACAACAAUAAAAAACAGGUCCAAUCGUGUUCAUCAAUCCUUUCCCUUUCGAUUCAUCCACGUAAACCAACAAUUAUAAGAUUUGAAUAUUUCAACAAUUGUGAAAUUCAGAAGAUUGACUCCUAUUCUAGAUUUCAGUUUCGAUAUUUUAAGAACCAGCAAAAUAAUUUUGUAGGCCGGAAAAUAUUUAGCCCAAGCACAGUAAAUAAGAGUUAAUAAUCAAAAACGACUAUCAACAAUCGCGUAAGCCGAUUCCACCCCAGGUCUCUUAGAAAACCCAUCAUGCUUCAGUCCAACUCGAAACAAAACUCUAUUUUGUUUUGAUGAAAGCUCCCAGACUUUUGUUGUUAUUUGUAUUACAAAUCUCCUGUUCCGAUGACGGGAACUGUGAUCAGUCCAAUUAUCUUCAUAUUAAGCUUAAAUCCACCCUAGAAAACCUACUUCCAACAUAUAAGCAAUGCACUUUAUCAAAAAUCAAUUGAAAACCGUAAUCAACGAUCCAUAAUCCACGAAAAUAAGAGAUCUCAAAUUUGUUGUAUGAAUUAAAAAAAGAAUAUCACUAAAUAUAUAUUUUUAAAUUUUAUAUUAUGAAUUAUCCAUAAUUUUUGUUUAUAUUAUAAAAAUUCAGUAACGAAGUAGAUGUUUACUUCUUGGGAGCGGGAGCGGCCUUCUUCUUGGCAGCCAACUUCUUUUUCCUUUCGGCUAAGGCCUUGGACAACAUCUUUGAGCGGUUAGCCUCGGCUUUAACGGCGACGUUAGCGAAGUGGUGUUUGGGCAAUACAAUGUUGUUUUUCUUGGCGUUCAACAACACUCGGUUGAUCUUCCUCUUUUCGGCGGCCAAGA